CCAGGGAGCUCAGGUUCAUGCAGUCCACCUGAGUGGAACGAGUGGCACCAGGAUCCACCCCUUCCCAGUCUUCAUUUAAAGGUUAGCAGUGGAGCUGAGAGCAUUUUGCCUGGAAAUCCCUGCACAGCUAAAGAUUGAAAGAUUUGAAAGACCUUACAGGCCUUUCAAAGAACAUUCCCUCUGCCAAAUCUAGGCUUAAAUGCAAAAAACAUGUACUUGAGAAUCCUAGGAAGAACUUGAGAUGUCAAUAGAAGAAAAAGGUUCCUUUAUGCUGGGUACUUGUGAGUGUAUGCUGUUUUUUGGUUCACUGCGCUGUAUAGUCUUUCCUGUAGCUGAGAAAUUCUUUGGUCUCCAAAGGGCAAAGAAUCUUCUUGCGACUUCAGUGCGAAGGUCCUUCUCAACAUGGAUUUCUUUUUUUUGUUUAUUUUGGGGGGAAACAAAAGUGCUGUAUACAGAAGAACAUCUUAAAUUUGAGGAAACAGAGGCACAGUGCAUGGAAGCAACCAACAACGGAUAGCAGGCAACAUAAACAGCUGAAAGGAGAACAAAAGCUUCCAGAGUCCCAUGUGUGUGAUCUCAACAUUGAGUCAAUCUGGCAACUGCUGAGGAAGAACGUUCCAGAGCCCUGUAAUGAAGUUUCCCGCUUGAAACACGUCACCAUCUUUUUCCAAGAUAUGGGAGAUGUUGAACUGAGUGACUAAUGUAAAGGAUUGAAAGUGACAGGAAACUUAAGAAAGGAUAUGUGAACAACCAAAUAGUGAAAUACUAACAUAAGUCAUAAACUGUAGCAUUUUUUCUUUUAACCUACUAAAAUGACAAAAUCAUAGAAUUAAGAAACCUAAGUAAACCAAUUAUAUACUGUAUUGAAAUUGAGCUGGCUUUGAAUACAAAAAAAAUAAAGUGUAUAGUGGUCUCUAAUGAGAUAAAUGUUACAAAUUUAAAUUAUUUGUGGGAAGAUAUAUCUAUAAUUUCUUAAUAAGUAUUCAAAUAAAUAAAAUACUCCACCACCCCCUCUUCCCUCCUUGCCUUUCCCUUCCCUGUCUCAUCUGUGCAGUUCCCACAAAUAGGUGCAAACUCUCAAUAGCAUCUGGUUGCUGUAAAUGUAGAUGAAAAUCAGAUAAUGAAGUAUCAAUCUCCAGACUUCUGAGCAUUGGUAAGAACAAUAGGGUUGGCCUUCCAAGGAAUGUGAUCCUGAAAUUAUAGAUGUAUAAUAAUAUUGGUAUUUUGCUUGUGUAAGGAUGGAGCCAGGAACAAUUUUUUUUACUGUAUUUCAGAGAAUUUCAUAUUGUUUAUGUACUUCAAGCUUGCAUUUAGUCUGUAUUGCUGAUGUUGAUCUACAAGGAGGCUUACUUUACAGGAUGGAUCCAAGUGAAAUAUAUGAGCUCUGCUGUUGAGUUGUAUGUUGUAUGGAGUUGUAUGCAUGUUAUUGUGUUUUGCAAAAAAACAAACCCUUAUUUGUCAUUGUGAGAGUGCUUUCAAUUCAUAAUUUACUAAUUUUAGUAGACAUCACAUAUUUUGGAAUAAACAUUUGUUUGCAAAUCCUUGUUAACUGUAAAGGCUUAUAGGCCAGCAGUGGUCAAUGAUUGUUAAUUCAGCUUCUGUUCGAUGAUUCAGGGCAAGCAUCAUGCUUGGCUUUGUCAAACAUGAGAAAGGGAGAGUCGUUCUAAGGAGCACUGGCUGUUGAAUGUUGCUAUAGUCAACUGCAACCUUCCUUUUGAGGAAAGCUGUUUGAGAACAUGUUUCCAGGCUCAACAUUAUGCCACUUACACACAAGCUUAUUGAAAGUCAAAUAUUCCACCAUUCAAUGCCAAGUCCUUAAUUUCACCUUAAUCCUUCAGUUUCCUUUACUGCCAUAUUUGCCUCAUGUAAUGUGUCUCCCAUCUUCAUACAGCAUUCUCCAUUGCUGUCCAAGAUCAAGAAUGUCUUAAGGGAGAACUGUGGUUAUUUUUCUUUGAUUUCUUAGGUUAACUGGCAAUAAAACACGAGCUGUGUGCUGGAUACUCUCAGGCUUGAUUAAGUUUAAAACAUGAGAUUUUUUUUUUUUUAAGAUAGUAGCUGCAGGAAACAAUAGAAAGUGCAAAGGUAAAGGAACAAAGUGUUCCGAUAAGAUGCUUAAAAGUAGAGUGAGAGCGCCUAUUGAAUGUAAAUGUAAACAAAGCCCUGCAGCCUUCCUUUACAACGUCUAUGUUAAGUCAGUAUUUUGAGAUUGCAUCUUUCAACUAUAGUCAGUCUCUCUAUUUAGAUACAAAUCAUCCAAAACUUGUCUUGGCAAGUACAGAGCUUACCUCUACAGAGUAGGAUUUUUAUUUUAGGACUCCAGUAUACUUAGUGGAAAUUUUUUGUCCACAUUCACUCUUCUAGAUGAGGAAACAGAAGUCUAAAAAUGUCAAUGAAGAGGACCCUAGCUGUUGAGGGAUCUCAAAUGGACUUGGACAAUGGGAUUUUAAAUUCAACCUCUAAUUGUAUGGUGC
ensembl:lncRNA